rnacentral:rRNA from 1 species
GGGCCCGCACAAGCGGUGGAGCAUGUGGUUUAAUUCGAUGAUACGCGAGGAACCUUACCAGGGCUUAAAUGGGAGAUGACAGGGGCAGAGACGCCCUUUUCUUCGGACAUCUUUCAAGGUGCUGCAUGGUUGUCGUCAGCUCGUGCCGUGAGGUGUCAGGUUAAGUCCUAUAACGAGCGCAACCCCUAUCGUUAGUUGCCAGCAUUUAGUUGGGCACUCUAGCGAGACUGCCGGUGAUAAGCCCGGAGGAAGGCGGGGGAUGACGUCAAGUCCUCAUGGCCCUUAUGGGCUGGGCUACACACGUGCUACAAUGGCAGUGACAGAGGGACGCUACUUCGCAAGAAGGAGCCAA